rnacentral:rRNA from 1 species
GCCGGAUUAGCUAGUUGGUGGGGUAAUGGCCUACCAAGGCGACGAUCCGUAGCUGGUCUGAGAGGACGACCAGCCACACUGGGACUGAGACACGGCCCAGACUCCUACGGGAGGCAGCAGUGGGGAAUUUUGGACAAGGGGGGUAACCCUGAUCCAGCCAUGCCGCGUGUGUGAAGAAGGCCUUCGGGUUGUAAAGCACUUUCGGACGGAACGAAAGCGCGCGAUCUAACAAGUCGCGUGGAUGACGGUACCGUAAGAAGAAGCACCGGCUAACUACGUGCCAGCAGCCGCGGUAAUACGUAGGGUGCGAGCGUUAAUCGGAAUUACUGGGCGUAAAGUGUGCGCAGGCGGCCGCGCAAGUCGAGUGUGAAAACCCCGGGCUUAACUUGGGAAUUGCGCUCGAAACUACGUGGCUGGAGUGUGGCAGAGGAAGGUGGAAUUCCACGUGUAGCGGUGAAAUGCGUAGAGAUGUGGAGGAACACCAAUGGCGAAGGCAGCCUUCUGG